AGAAACACUCUGCUACAGAACAAGUGUCUUGGUUCACAGCAAAGAGGACAAAGAAAACAGCAAGUUUUAGGGGGUUGAAUCCUGGAUUCCCCUGGCAAACACCAUUCUACUUUCCGUCUCUAUGAAUUUGACUACUCGAAGUACCUCAUUAAAAGAAGAGAAAAAACAUCAAUUAGAAAAUAGAAAAGAGCCCUCCCUGGUGAAUUCCUGCUUCUCCUCCAUGUCAUCAUAGGUGUUGAUGGUGCUUGCCUCUGGAUAAUGCUGACUUCCUCUAGAGUGGUCACCAAGGUGAAAUGUUGGUGCCAAAUGAACUUUUCUGGUUCUUCUGAAUAGACCCACAAAAGAAGAGAUACUGAGGUGGUGACCAGAUGGAUAUAAACGGGCUGUGGAAAAAGAGAAUGCAUGGCCAAAAAUGGUGGUGCUCUCUGUCCAAAAACUGAGGCCCUAUGACCAUGAAUGAAGCCAGAGGGCAGGUAGGAAUAGAUCAUUUGCUCCAGAAGAAGCUGGUUGCCAUGUCUUGAGGACAGUAAACCCUCUGGGGAGGUUCCUGUGGUAAGGAACAAGGGCUCCUGGCAAUAGCCUCUGAGUGAGCCACCUUGAAAAUGGAUUGUCCAGCCCCAGUCAAGCUUUCAGAUGACUGUAGCUCCUGCCAAUGUCUUCACCACAACCUCAUGAGAUCCCAAGCUACAACCACUCAGAACUUCAUCUUUUGGGAAGCACCAGGGAGAGCUGCCUGUGCCUGGCAGAAGCUGCCCAUGCCCCACUGAUACCCCACAGUACUUCCUGUUCUGCUUAGUACUCCUGCUUCUUUCUACAAACAACUGUGAUUCUCUACCUGGGAGCUUCCUCUGGCCACAGGAGCCUGCUCACCUGAUUGGGACACCCUAGCAGUACUGGCUCAUAGAUGGAAGGGACUUGCCUUGUCGCUGAUGAGACUUUCGACUUGGACUUUUGAGUCAAUGCUGGAAUGAGUUAAGACUUUGGGGAACUGUUGGAAGGGUGUGAUUGUGUUUUGAAUUGUGAGGACAUGAGAUUUUGAAGAGGCUAAUGGCAGCGUCCCCACCUAAAUCUCUUCUUGAAUUGUAGUUCCCAUAAUCCCCACGUGUCGUGGGGUGGAGCCGGUGGAGAUAAUUGAAUCAUGGGAACACUUUCCCCCAUGCUGUUAUUGUGAUUGUGAAUUCUCACGAGAUCUGAUGGUUGUAUAAACGCCUUCCCUCUUCGCUGGGCACUCAUUUUUCUCCUUCCUGCCACCAUGUGAAGAAGGAUAUGCUUGCUUCUUGUGCCAUGAUUGUAAGUUUCCUGAGGCCUCCCCAGCCAUGCUGAACUGUGAGUCAAUUGAACCUCUUUCCUUUAUAAAUUACCUAGUCUUGGAUAUGUUUUUAUUAGCAGUGUGAGACAGGACUAAUACACAAAGGAUUUGAAAUCACAAAGGAGCUGUUUUCUGCUCCACCAUGGAAGUCUCACAUGCAUCACAUCUAUUCAUAUCCAUUUGCCACAACUAGACAAAAAGUCCUUUUUAAAAUCUGCCUAGAGAUCAGGAAGUAUUAUCUCUGGAUGCCUAGGCAGGAGAGGUGAAUCAGAUAUUGGUGGGCACUAGUGUGUUCUAUGAUACAUAGCUUAAUAAAAAUAAGUUUCAGAUAAAUCUAAAUAUACAUUAGAAUACUGUAACCACAGUAGAAAAAAAUAUUGGCUCCUUUUUGUGAUAAACUAAUGAUGGUAAAUGCACCCUAUUUAAGCAAGAAAAGAAACUGAUCUGCCAUAAAGAAAACAAUGACAUAUUUAACUACAAAAUAUGUUACAAAAUAUUAAUAUCCCUAAUGGACAAAUGAGUUCCAAUAAAUGGAUAACAAAAAACCAAUAAGUCUGUAGAAAAAUGGAGAAAAUAUAUUUGCAGAAUAUUUAUACAGGUGGUAAUGAAAUUGACAAUGAUGUUUAUCAUCAGCAGUAAACAGUAAAAAGUUUCACCCACCAGGACUAUAGAAAUUUUUCAAAUGGAUAAUUUUCAGAAUCAGCAAAGUUAUAGAAAAGUAGGUACCAGUUGCACAUACCAUUGGAGGAAAUGUAAAAUAUAGUUACCUUGUGGAAAGUAAUCUGAUGUAAUAUAUUAAAAUUUUAUCCAUGUAUGUCCUAUAAUUCAGCAAUUCCAUGUUGGGGAAUCCAUACAAAGAAAUACUUAUACACAUGCAGAAGGAGCUAAGUUUAAGAAAGCACACAUUUCAGCGGGUUGUGGUGUCUCACCCCUGUAAUCCCAGCACAUUGGGAGGCCGAGGUUGGUGGAUCACCUGAGGUCAGGAGUUUGAGACCAGCCUGGCCAACAUGGUGAAACCCUG
rnacentral:lncRNA from 1 species